AAGACGGGUUCAUGAUUGUCAUCAAGUUGUACUGUAGCCGUAGCCUAGGCGACCGGUACAUCGGUGCUGUAUGUUGGAAAAGUUUUUGAUUUGAAUAAGAGAUCGACUUCUCUCCAAUUAAGAUAUGGACAAGAACGAAGCUAAGGUUAGUUUUUAGGGCCAAGAAUAAGUAACAAAACACCACCCAAAAGUUUUUUUUGUAAUACAUAUCAUUUAUAUAUGUUAUCAAAACUUGUUGAAAUCUUCUAGAAAAGGAGACACAUCAUAUUAGCAAACGAUUUUUGGAUAAAAUAUUAACAGUAGAGUUAUGUCUUUUCAUUUUAAAGGGCUUCAAACGAAAAGGCGCGCUUUAGAGACAUGAUCUUUUGUGAAAAGGUUUCUAGACGUCUAUAAAUAAGGGAUAUGGAUUUAUGGUGCCUUUCAUCUGUCUUGCAAUAUAUUUUCUAUUUUCAUUCUAUUUGAUUUUAUUUCCCAUUAGGACUAUUUAUUUCCAUGCAGUUUGUUCCAUUUUCAUGAUCUACAUUUUACCAUUUUGAUUAGUGUAUAAUUUUAAUAAUUAGGGCAUAAGUUAAUCCUUAACUUUUUUAACUGAAACAAGGUAUGCGCAUCAAUUAGAGAACUUUAUAGUCUGGCCAUGGAAAACGAAGGCAGCAUAACGUUGAAUAAAAACGUGCAAAGGGGCGGUUCGGUCGCCCCGCAGGGACAGUUGCAAUAUGCAUGUAGCUUUGGAAAGAGAGUGCUCAUGGAUCAAGAUCAAUCCUCCGGCUCGAGGAGUGUAUGGAAGAAAGGAGCUAAGGUUUUAUUUAAAGUCACACUAGGUUUUAUGGGAGUAGGUAUCCCUUUGUUCCUUGACGAUGAUGAUUCUGAAUCUCCGAUAGUGUAGAUUAGGCUUUAGAAAAUCGUGUUUGGCUUCUGUUUUCAGAAUUAGGUUUUCAGAAUUGUUUUCGAAAAUUUGUUUAGUUAACGAUUUUCGACACUUUCUUAUAAAAAAUUAUUAUGAAUUUUCAUAAUGCGAUCAUUUUCCCUCUAGAAAUGAAUAAGAUGUGAAAAUCCUAAAUGUUCCGACUUUAAAAACAAUAUAUGAAAAGUGUUUAGCAAAGUUAAUUCUAAAACUAUCACAAAAUACAAUUUUAUAUUUUAGAUAAGUCUGAUUCCAAUUGCUUAUAGAAUCCACUCAGAGGCAAAAGAGACUACAACACGACCCAAAGAAAAAACAUGAAAAAGUCCUCGACUUUUGUUGAAUAUUUAUGUACCUUGAACGACAUACUUUAACCAUUUACGAUAAUUCCUCCAAACAAACACAAGUUUAUCACUAAACUAAUUAAGGCAACUACUUGGAUUUUAUUGAAGUUAGAGAUUAGAAUAUAAUAAUGGAUAUAGAAACCUUAGUUGCCAUUUUUUAUAGGGAAAUAAUUUCUACACUCCAAAAAUGAUAUUUACACUCCAAAAUAGGAGUGUGAAAUCAACACCAUUAUGGUAUUGAUUUCUACACUCCUAUUUUGGAGUGUAGAUAUCAAAAAUGGAGUGUAGAAAUAAAUUUCCAUUUUAUAUCUGGUGACUCAUUCGAGUAGCGAAUGCCUAUUAUAAGAAAGGAGACAUAAAAUAUCUGUGAUUUUGUGUUAUUCCAAGAUGGAUGACGAUACUCUGGCAAUUUAAAAUCGAUCAAACAACGUAAAUUGAGUAAAAAACAAAAAUAGGUCUGUGAUAAUUAAUAACAUCCGUGAAAGCAACAAUUGUAUAUGUGGCAUUAAUAUGGAAACUAUUCCAACUAAAACACUUUCGGUACUGGAAGUUUGGAUAGGGCUGCCAUGUCCCGGGGCGGCGCCAGGUAAUUCCUGAUGGGGUCAGAUGAUCCCAUCAGCUUUUGAAAAUGUUUAAAAAAAAUUUUUUUUAGUGUUUAAAAUGUUCAAAAAAUUUUUUUUUGUGUUAUAUAUAUGUUUUAAAAAAAAUUGAACCAAUAUAAUAAAAGGAAAUAUAGAGUGCACAAUGACACCCAUUAGCAAAAAUUUCUUGAGCAGCCAAGCACUGCAUAGUCCCAACCAAGUUAUGGAAUUAAGCUUAGCAAGCUGUUUUGUUUGUUAAUUUUUUUUCAUAAUUAGUUCUAAAUUCACUUCUAAAAAUCUAAUUGGUUGGCAUGUUUUUAAAAUUUAUUUUUAUGAGAUUCGAGAAGAGCUCAUUAUUUUUUUAAAAAAAUUAAAGAGAAUAAAUAAGGUACAAAAACUGUGAAUAUUUUUGUUUUUUAAAAAUAAUUUAUAAACUGAUUUUAAACAUUAAAACAAUAAAAUAAGUUCUUACGAAAAAUUUAUGCACAGAGAGUGAAAUAUUUUAUUUUCAAUUUUGAUCAGGGGACAUGACUAAAUAGAUACUGCCAUUAACAAAUUAUGAUACUGAGUAAGGGUGAGGUUUGGUAGGAUCCAAAAUUGUGGAACUGGGGUGUUUGAAUAAGAUAAAAAAGUGUGGGGCUCACGCAAAGGACAUGAUCCAACGUCCACUUGGUGACUAGUAGAUAAUAAGUUAGGGCUCGUUUGACACCAGCUUUUUUUAGCUUUUCUGGCUUUUUGGCUUAAAAUAAGCAAAAAAACCAAUCAGAGUUGGCUUUUUUGCUUUUCGGAUUUUGCUUUUUUGCUUAGGUUUGCUAAAGUAAAGACCACAAAAAGUAAAAAAAAUCAAAAAUCUUGGCCCUCUUAGUAGCAAGCUUAAAAAAAAGCCUUGGUUUUUUAAGCAUUACCAAACGGAGCCUUCGGUGAGGCAAUCUGCUCACCCAUCAUUUUGGCGCUGGUAAUACCCAUAAGUUAUCAGAAUCGAAUCGGUGAUGAACUGGUCAAGACACCGGUUUAAUGAUUCGUGGUCAACGUGUUCAACGGUUAUUAUAAGAAAUAAUAAUAAAAAAUAUAUUUAAAUAAAAAAUAAUCAUUAAAAAAUUAAAAUAGAAUAAAAGAUACUCUUUGUUUAUACCAAUAAUUCCAACAUAAGUACACAUAUAAAUACAUAUAAAACAAAUACAAAAUAUAAAUUAUAAAAAAUUUGAAAAUGAUUUCUUUGUCUUUCCAAUUAAAAUUUUUUAACCGAUUACUUAUUGGUUAUUUUUAUAUUUAAAAGAAAAAAUAUAAAAAUUGUCAAUAAUGUGAAUUAUUAAGAUAAUAAUGUGCCAAUUAUUGGUGUUUUGUCAUUUUAGUGUUUUAAUUUUCUCCUAUUACUUUUCUAUUUUUUAUCUUAUUUGUAUUUUUUACAUUAUAGAUUUUUUUUCAUAAUAUGUAUCUCGAUGAUCUAAUUAUAAAUACCAAAUAUUGAAAGAUAGUGAUUUGUACAUGUUUUUUAAUUGCAUCCAUUUUUUAUUUUUAUUAAAAAUAAAGUUACAAAAUUUACUAGCUAAAUCAAAUACCAAAAUCAAAACCAAAAAAUCAAAAAUUUAAAACAUUAAAAACCACUAGGCCACUUAAAUAUUUGUAUUUUUUUAAAACAAGAAUAUUUGUGUUUUUUACUUUUUUCAAAAAACCAGCCGGCUCACUAAAUACCGGCGGUUCAAUGGUUUUCAAAAUACGGCGGUUCGGCCGGUCAAUCCGGGUUACAUGUAUUUUCGGUAUUUUAAGUAAAAACGUUCCGAUUCACUGUCGAUUCCGAUUCAAUCGGUUGAACCGGCCGAUUCGAUCGAUUUUUAAAAACUAUGGGUUACCGUGCACCCCAAUCUAUGUUCCAGCCCACACCCAACCUCUCCACAUUCAAUGCACACUGGUAGCAGACGUCUCUCUCUCUUUCUCUUUCUCUCUCUAUGUGUAUGUGUACCGUGGCUAUAAAUGUUCAGAGAUUUCAGUAAUUCUCACUGCAUUUGAUUUAAAUUAUAUUUUCAUAAAACAAGUGGUUCAAGCAGCUUGUCUUUAUAAAAAAUAACUUUAAAUUAGGGAGUAAUGUUUGUAGAAUGAGAAAUGACUGCCGGCUCGAACUCGGAUAUUAUCACAGGCUCAAUACGUUACAGAACCACAUAACCCAUUUGGAGGUAGUGGAGACAUUUUUUUUUUUAAAAGUUAUCCACUCCACAUGGGAGUCGUAGUGUUGCCACGCAAGUGAGGCCGUGCGUGAUAAAUACCCAUGAGCUUUGAGCCGUCUGAUCAUUCCCGAUGAGAAUGGUCGUCCAUUGCAUCAAGGCGAAACGUGUUCAGUCUCGUAAGGGGGCCCCCCUUGGCACCCAACGUUGUUGUAAAUUAGCGUGCCUUUUACUCGAUUUAAUGAAACCAAAACUUAGAACCAAGCCCAAGAGACUGACUCCAUUAUGGUGAGCGCGACCCGACAAUUUUGUAAAAAUCUAGGCUAAAUUUAAACCAUUGUUUUCUUUGAUUGAUUUUUUCUAGUAGGAUAAAUUUAUCAAAAAUCUUUCUAGUAAAGAUAAUUUGAUUACAUGUGGAGGUACUGGGCCUUACGAAAAACUAGUAUAAUUAUAGAGUAAUUAAAAAAGUAUGAAGAUGUCUCUGUUUAUCAAACUCUUUGUUUUGACCAUCCAUAACAGAGUUAGGCGUUCAAUUUAAUUCAACAUUUCGAAGAUGGCUGCAAUUUUACUAAGAUUAGGAGAUUUAAAUGCAAUUAAAAAACUACAUACGAGUUUUUUAUACUUUCUAAAUAAGAGGAUUACCCGACAUAAAGUCAGCCCCACCCGCACAUUAGCGGUAAAUUUUUAAUUAGUUCUAGAUUCAACUUUUAAAAAUCUAAUUGGUUGGGAAAUUUGUUUUAUGAGAUUCGGAGAAGAGCUCGUUUAUUUAAAAAUAAAUAAAUUAAAGAGAUGAUAUCAAAAUUUUUGAAAUUAGGUUUGAUAGAGAAUAAAUAAGAUACGAAAAUUUAAAUGUUUUUGUUUUAACAAUAAUUUAUAAUGAUUUUUAAAAUUAGAACCAAAUAAACUAAUUCUUACGGAACACUGGCAAAUUAUUACAUAAAAUCAAUAGAAAACAAAAUGUGUAAACAAAUAUCAGUUUUUCCACAGGGCAAAAAAGAACUUCUUUGUGAAGUCGUCGAGGACGAGGUCGAAUUGGUUGGCAUUUUUUGAAUGAAAUUUAUUUAUGGUUUUGGAGAAGAGCUCUUUUAUUUUAAAAAAAAAUUAAAGAGAUGUUAUCAAAAUCUUUGAGAGGAGGGAACAAAUAAGAUACGAAACGGUGAAUGUUUUUGUUUUAAAAAAUAAUUGUUAGGUAAAUAAAAUACACUCUUACAAAAAAAAACUUGUGAAAAAUAUAUUUACAUUAAAAUUCAAUAAGAAAAACAAAAAUGUGGUUUGUAUACAAAAUCAGUUUUUCACAGGCCACCAAAAAAGACUUCAUGUGAAGUCGACCGAGGACGAGUCUACCAUGCCAAAGGACACUCCGAAGUCACUGUACCAAUGGUCCUCACAGUUAUGGCAUCAUUCCGAAACAAUGACGGGAGCUACAUUAAAUCUGUCUAUAAGUAUCAAACUUUUUAUUAAUUAGACUCAAAUUUGAAACACUUGCAAAAUUUUUAAUUCCAUGGAUGUGUUGUAAACUAAAAAUAGACUCAAAUUCUGAACAUACGCGACUUCUAUGAAUUGACCUAUAUUGUUUUUCUACGGAAUAUAAAAUUAAAAAUAUUUGAGUUUAUGUUUAGGACAAGAGUAAUACUCUACUCGUUGAUUUUAAAGAGAGUUACAUAUAAUAAGGUUUGAUAAAUAAGUAAAGAGAUCUUGUGUAUAAUGAUCGUUAUUAAAAGUGAUUUAAUCUAUAAUUAUUGAUACCUGAUCAACUCCAUUUUUAGGUAGAUGGUAAACCAACAUGUCUUUAUAAUAUGAACGGUUGAAUUAUCGAUAUAGGUUAAGAGCUGUUAAAUUGGCACAUUACCGUUUAAAAUUAAGUUUUAGAGAAACGACCUUAUUCCAUAAUGCAUAAAUUGUUUUUUACUGUAAGUCUGGGGGGCCUUUUGGUAAUUAUUAUAUUCGAAUAACAAUUAGAAUUAAAAAAAAAAUGACAGAGAAAUAUUUUUUUAAAUAAAUUAAAAAUAGUGACAUAACAUAAUUCAAAAGCAUAUACAAAACUGUAAAAUAAGAGAAAUAAAUUGCAAACCGAGAUGAGUCUCGCGUUUCACACCGCUCUCCUUCAAGGUUAAUCGUCCUAUGAGCAUUGAGUUAGUGGACGUCGAUCCAUGAGGCAUCCAACUAGCCCACCCCCAACUCUGCACACGUGUUAGCAGUUGCAACUCACAUGAACCGUCGAACUCACAGUUUAUUUUGAUCUUCUAUAGGACGAGACAAAAAGUUUACAAAAAAACUCUCUCAGAGAAUGUGUGCUCUUAGCUAUUUUUUCUUCGUUGGGUUUGCUGCAUACCUUGGGUUGCCACUUUACGGCAAAGAGACAAGAUGAUUUAUAUAAGAGUAAGUUGUUGAGCCUUCCAUCCGUUAGGUAAUGCAUUUUGACCGCAAGUGGGGCAGAAAAGUACACCAACCAGCAGCACCCGCACACAGUCUACCAUAAAAUGAAAAUCACCUGUUAGGCAUGUUGCAGAAAUCCAUCCAAAAAACUAACUUUAGUUACAAUUGAAUGAUUCGGAGAGGAAAAUUCAAAUAUAAAGAUAAAAUUGUGGGAAUUGAAAAUGAUGACCAAACAAAGUCGAAAAAAACUAUGGGGCUUUGGUACAUUUACCCUUUCUAUUUCCGUGUGGGCUUUGAAUCCGUUUGCAUCGUGAAAACAAGGAUAAAAUAAUUUUUCUUUGUAAUGAACCAAUUCACUAGAGCUUACAAGCCUCUAAACAGAGCUUCGUUAUUACCUAUUUCACUCUUUUUUUCUCUCAGGCUAACGCAUUUAACAGGGGGCAUUCCUUUUGGAACAUCUCCAAAGGUUCACCUUUCCAUAUCUACUUUCUGAGGUUUUUUGAUGACCAGACUAAAUAUUGAAAAGAUAAACAUAAUUGUUGAGGCUAGUAAUUAGUAUGCACCAAAAAGAGUUUAUAAUUAGAAGAAAGGAAAAGAGAGGAAGGAAGGGGAAGAUAAUUAUAGUUCAUCUUCUUUUUAUAUUCGGUUCUUUGAGACGAAAAGAAAAAUUAUUAAGAGAAACUUAAAAUAGAAUGAGAUUUUUUUUCACACUUCCUUAGUUUCUUUACUCUUUUAUUCUUCUUUUUAUUAUUAAUUUACCUUGAUUUUUAUUCCUUGUUGUCUAUAAAAUCGAACCGAAAAAAUGUAUUUAGAUUCAUAUUUCCUUCUUUUUUUUCAAGUAACAAACAUUUGUCCAAGCAGAAAGAAAAGAAAAAGAGAAGAGAGAAGAGGAAUGCAACAAAUCAAUGUCAAAAAAAGGUUUGAAUCUAAUUACAGACAGAAGAAACUCUUUUUUUUUUCCACCUCCUAUCUCAAGCAUAGAAAAGACAGGUUUUGAGCGAAAAUUAAUAGUAACAAGAACAAUCAUAUUUGUUUUAGAAAAAUAGAGAGUCUAUUCUAAAAUUAAAUUUUUAUUUUUUAUAGAAGUCAACCAAUCAUGUGGUUAUAUUGACCCGAUAAGUCCGGGCUGUUUAUCGGAUGCAUCAUCCAUCAUAGGUACAAGCUGAGUAGUAUUUGGAUCAUAAGAUAGGUAAGAGUAGAACCCUCAACUUAUUAAAUUAUUAUACAAUUUAAAUAAACCACUCCAUAAUUCAACGUAAAUCAAAUAUCGAUAACUGUGUGAUAGUUCCAGAGUAUCUUUAAAAAGAAAAUAAAAUUAGAAUGGAGAAGGGUCGGUCCAUUGCUUCAAGCAUUAUAAAUCAAAACCAUUAAAUCAGUACUUUAUACGAAUUUGAAAAAUAAUCCUUUCGGCAAAAAAUCUAGGCUACUUAUUUUUACAUGUAGUGAAAAGAUUUGAGUAAAGGUGAAUGUAUUGUAGUUAUUACGCGUUAUAUUUUUAAACUGUGUAACCGAACUAACUCGCAUUAUACGGUUUGAUUUUAAUGGUUCAACGGUUUGGUUUGAAAAUUUUUUCUUGAACCGUUAUGAAGGUUUGGUUUGUAAUUUCCCUAAAAAUUGGGUCAAUCUAAACUAUGAUUACUCCGAUAUCCUAUUAGAUAAUAAAUUAAAAUAGUAAAAUAAUAUUUUUUAGCAGUACUUAUUCUCUCUCCCAGUCCCCACUAAAAUGCCGCAGGCACCCUCUCUGAAGCAAAAUUUUGGUACUGCUUCGUCGGCAAAACGUUAAAAAAAGGGUGGUUAAAAUUCACCAACACCCUCGCAACUAGCGCAAGAGUCUAUUCAGAGUCCUCAAAUUUUCUAUAAGACGUAAGUGCAAGUAGUCUUCGCUUGAGCUUCGCCUCUCAAAACACGAUCACUCCAAUUUUGUUUUUAAAAAAAAAAUAAAAUGGAUUCAGGAGCUUGAGAUCAACCUAUCUCACGUCAGCGAUCUGGAGUGCGUCGACAGAGAUUAAGAUGAAGCUACGCGGUAGGUGGUUGGACAGUUGGAGACAAACAUGAAACAGAGAAGGCAAACGCCGGGGACAAGGAAAAGAGACGAAACCCUGCCUGAACUUCACCUUCGGUACCGUGGGGGAGGAGCGUUUGACCAAAAGGAGGGGUCAUGAUUGUCAUCAAUUGCUUACUGUAGCCGUUACCCCUAGGCGAGCAGGUACAUCGGUGAGGUUGUUGGAAAAGUUUUUGAUUUGAAUAGAGACCGGACUUUCUCAUAAGAUUUGGAUAGAUCGAAGCUAAGAUUAGAUUUCAGGGCCAGAAUAAGUAACAAAACACCACCCAAAAGUUUUUUUUUUGUAAAUACUUAUCAUUAUUAUGUUAUCAAAACUUGUUGAAAUCUUCUAGAAAAGGAGACAACAUCAUAUUAGCAAACGAUUGUGGGAUUAAGUAUUAACAGUAGAGUUAUGUCUUUUUCAUUUUAAAGGGGCGUUUCAAACGAAAAGCGCAGCUUUAGAGACAUGAAUCUUUUGUGAAAAAGGUUGUAGAGUAUCAAUAAGGGAUAGGGAAUUUAUGGUGCCAUUCUUACAAUACAUUUUUCUAUUUUCAUUCUAUUUGAUUGUAUUUUCCCAUUAGGACGUAUAUUUCCAUGCAGUUUGUUCCAUUUUUGAUCUACAUUUUACCAUUUUGAUUAGUGUUAAUUUUAAAAUAAGCAUAGUAAUCCCUAACUUUUUUGUAAUGAAACAAGGUACGUAGAUCAACAGAGAACUUUAUAGUCAGGCAUGGAAAACGGUGGCAGCAUAACGUUGAAGAAAAACGUGCAAAGGGGCGGUUCAGACGCCACGCAGGGACAGCUGCAAUUUGCAUGCAGCUUUGGAGAGAAAGUGAUCAUCGAACCACCGCCCCCCGGCUCACCGAAUGUAUGGAAGAAAGGAGCUAAGGUUUUAUUGGCAGUCAUACUAAAUUUAGUGGGAGUUGGUGUCCCUUUGUUCCUUGAUGAUGAUUCUGCAUCUAAAUCUGAAUCUCCGAUAGUGUAGAUUAGGCUUUAGAAAAUCGUGUUUGGCUUCUGUUUUCGAAUCAGGUUUGCAGAAUGGUUUUUAAAAAUUUGUUUGGUUGACGGUUUUCGGCACUUUGUUAUAUAAAAUUAUUAGAAUUUUCAUAAUGCGAUCAUUUUCCCUCUAGAAAUGAAUAAGAUGUGAAAAUCCUAAAUGUUUUGACUUUAAAAAUAAUAUCUGAAAAGUGUUUUGCAAAAUUAAUUUUAAAACUGCCACAAAAUAGAGUUUUAUAUUCUAGAUAAGACGGAUUCCAACUGCUUAUAAAAUCCACUCCAACACGACCAAAAAAAAAAAAUGAAAAGAUCCUUGGAUUUUGUUGAAUAUUUAUGUACAGUGAACGACGUACUUUAAUUAUUUAUGAUGAUUCCUCCUAGCAAGCAGACUUUUAUCACUAAACUAAUUAAGGCAACUACUUAGAUUUUAUUGAAGUUAGAAAUUAGAAUAUAAUAAUGGAAAUAGAAACCUUAGUUGCCAUUUUUAUGUCUGGUUACUUAUUCGAGUAGCGAAUGCCUAUUAUAAGAAAGGAGACAUAAAAUAUCUGUGAUUUUGUGUUAUUCUAAGAUGGAUGACGAUACUCUUGCAAUUUAAAAUCGUUUAAAUAGGUCUGUGAUAAUAAAGCAUCCGAGUGAAAUCGUCCGAGUCUUCCAUGCCAAAGGACAUGUCUGAAGUCACUGUACCAAAUGGUUCCCAC
rnacentral:lncRNA from 1 species